GAUGAACGCUGGCGGCGUGCCUAAUACAUGCAAGUCGAGCGAACAGACGAGGAGCUUGCUCCUCUGACGUUAGCGGCGGACGGGUGAGUAACACGUGGAUAACCUACCUAUAAGACUGGGAUAACUUCGGGAAACCGGAGCUAAUACCGGACAAUAUAUUGAACCGCAUGGUUCAAUAGUGAAAGGCGGUUUUGCUGUCACUUAUAGAUGGAUCCGCGCCGGCUUAGCUAGUUGGUAAGGUAACGGCUUACCAAGGCAACGAUGCGUAGCCGACCUGAGAGGGUGAUCGGCCACACUGGAACUGAGACACGGUCCAGACUCCUACGGGAGGCAGCAGUAGGGAAUCUUCCGCAAUGGGCGAAAGCCUGACGGAGCAACGCCGCGUGAGUGAUGAAGGUCUUCGGAUCGUAAAACUCUGUUAUUAGGGAAGAACAAAUGUGUAAGUAACUAUGCACGUCUUGACGGUACCUAAUCAGAAAGCCACGGCUAACUACGUG
rnacentral:rRNA from 1 species